rnacentral:rRNA from 1 species
AUUGAACGCUGGCGGCAUGCCUUACACAUGCAAGUCGAACGGCAGCACGGGUGCUUGCACCUGGUGGCGAGUGGCGAACGGGUGAGUAAUACAUCGGAACAUGUCCUGUAGUUGGGGAUAGCCCGGCGAAAGCCGGAUUAAUACCGCAUACGAUCUACGGAUUAAAGCGGGGGACCUUCGGGCCUCGCGCUAUAGGGUUGGCCGAUGGCUGAUUAGAUCGUUGGUGGGGUAAAGGCCUACCAAGGCGACGAGCAGUAGCUGGUCUGAGAGGACGACCAGCGGCACUAGAACUGGGACACGCCCAAGAGGCCUACGAGAGGGAGCAGUGGGGAAUUUUGGACAAUGGGCGAAAGCAUGAUCCAGCAAUGCCGAGUGUGUGAAGAAGGCCUUCGGGUUGUAAAGCACGUUUGUCCGGAAAGAAAUCCUUGGCCCUAAUACGGUCGGGGGAUGACGGUAACGGAUGAAUAAGCACCGGCUAACUACGUG